AGAGUUUGAUCAUGGCUCAAAUUGAACGCUGGCGGCAUGCCUUACACAUGCAAGUCGAACGGUAACAGGUUAAGCUGACGAGUGGCGAACGGGUGAGUAAUAUAUCGGAACGUGCCCAGUCGUGGGGGAUAACUGCUCGAAAGAGCAGCUAAUACCGCAUACGACCUGAGGGUGAAAGCGGGGGAUCGCAAGACCUCGCGCGAUUGGAGCGGCCGAUAUCAGAUUAGGUAGUUGGUGGGGUAAAGGCCCACCAAGCCAACGAUCUGUAGCUGGUCUGAGAGGACGACCAGCCACACUGGGACUGAGACACGGCCCAGACUCCUACGGGAGGCAGCAGUGGGGAAUUUUGGACAAUGGGCGCAAGCCUGAUCCAGCCAUGCCGCGUGCGGGAAGAAGGCCUUCGGGUUGUAAACCGCUUUUNUNNNNNANNANNNGGUUCUGGUUAAUACCUGGGACUCAUGACGGNNNNNGAAGAAUAAGCACCGGCUAACUACGUGCCAGCAGCCGCGGUAAUACGUAGGGUGCAAGCGUUAAUCGGAAUUACUGGGCGUAAAGCGUGCGCAGGCGGUUAUGCAAGACAGAGGUGAAAUCCCCGGGCUCAACCUGGGAACUGCCUUUGUGACUGCAUAGCUAGAGUACGGUAGAGGGGGAUGGAAUUCCGCGUGUAGCAGUGAAAUGCGUAGAUAUGCGGAGGAACACCGAUGGCGAAGGCAAUCCCCUGGACCUGUACUGACGCUCAUGCACGAAAGCGUGGGGAGCAAACAGGAUUA
rnacentral:rRNA from 1 species